rnacentral:rRNA from 1 species
UACAGAGGUCUCAAGCGUUGUUCGGAUUCAUUGGGCGUAAAGGGCGCGUAGGCGGCGGGGUAAGUCGGGUGUGAAAUCUCAGAGCUCAACUCUGAAAUGGCACUUGAUACUGCUCUGCUAGAGGACUGGAGAGGAGAUUGGAAUUCACGGUGUAGCAGUGAAAUGCGUAGAUAUCGUGAGGAAGACCGGUGGCGAAGGCGGAUCUCUGGACAGUUCCUGACGCUGAGGCGCGAAAGCUAGGGGAGCAAACGGG